rnacentral:rRNA from 1 species
GACGAACGCUGGCGGCGUGCUUAACACAUGCAAGUCGAACGGAAAGGCCCUUUCGGGGGUACUCGAGUGGCGAACGGGUGAGUAACACGUGGGUGAUCUGCCCUGCACUUUGGGAUAAGCCUGGGAAACUGGGUCUAAUACCGGAUAGGACUACGCGAUGCAUGUCGUGUGGUGGAAAGCUUUUGCGGUGUGGGAUGGGCCCGCGGCCUAUCAGCUUGUUGGUGGGGUGAUGGCCUACCAAGGCGACGACGGGUAGCCGGCCUGAGAGGGUGACCGGCCACACUGGGACUGAGAUACGGCCCAGACUCCUACGGGAGGCAGCAGUGGGGAAUAUUGCACAAUGGGCGCAAGCCUGAUGCAGCGACGCCGCGUGAGGGAUGACGGCCUUCGGGUUGUAAACCUCUUUCAGCUCCGACGAAGCGCAAGUGACGGUAGGGGUAGAAGAAGGACCGGCCAACUACGUGCCAGCCGCCGCUGUAAAAC